rnacentral:rRNA from 1 species
AGUCGAGCGAUGAAACACCUUCGGGUGUGAAUUAGCGGCGAACGGGUGAGGAACACGUGAGAAAUCUGCCUUCAACACUGGGAUAACUCCGGGAAACCGGGGCUAAUACCGGAUAUGAAAUCUGCGGGCAUCCGUGGAUUUGGAAAGUUUUUCGGUUGAAGAUGAUCUCGCGGCCUAUCAGCUUGUUGGUGAGGUAAUGGCUCACCAAGGCGACGACGGGUAGCCGGCCUGAGAGGGCGACCGGCCACACUGGGACUGAGACACGGCCCAGACUCCUACGGGAGGCAGCAGUGGGGAAUAUUGGGCAAUGGAGGAAACUCUGACCCAGCGACGCCGCGUGCGGGAUGAAGGCCUUCGGGUUGUAAACCGCUUUCAGCAGGGAAGAAGCGAAAGUGACGGUACCUGCAGAAGAAGCACCGGCUAACUAUGUGCCAGCAGCCGCGGUAAUACAUAGGGUGCAAGCGUUGUCCGGAAUUAUUGGGCGUAAAGAGCUCGUAGGUGGUUCGUCACGUCGGAUGUGAAAAUCUGGGGCUUAACCCCAGACCUGCAUUCGAUACGGGCGAGCUUGAGUAUGGUAGGGGAGUCUGGAAUUCCUGGUGUAGCGGUGGAAUGCGCAGAUAUCAGGAGGAACACCAAUGGCGAAGGCAGGACUCUGGGCCAUUACUGACACUGAGGAGCGAAAGCGUGGGGAGCGAACAGGAUUAGAUACCCUGGUAGUCCACGCCGUAAACGGUGGGCACUAGUUGUGGGGACCUUCCACGGUCUCUGCGACGCAGCUAACGCAUUAAGUGCCCCGCCUGGGGAGUACGAUCG